rnacentral:pre_miRNA from 1 species
GCCGAGUAAUACUCCAUUUUGUGUGUGUGUGUGUGUGUGUGUGUGUGUAUAUAUAUAUAUACACACACACACACACACACACACACACAAAAUGUGUAUAUA